rnacentral:rRNA from 1 species
UGUGGUCCAAUGAAUGUCGAAGCUCGCGGCGGGUAUCGUUAUUUUCUCACCUUCACAGAUGAUUUGAGCAGAUAUGGGUAUAUCUACUUAAUGAAACACAAGUCUGAAACAUUUGAAAAGUUCAAAGAAUUUCAGAGUGAAGUAGAAAAUCAUCAUAACAAGAAAAUAAAAUUUCUACGAUCUGAUCGUGGAGGAGAAUAUUUGAGUUACGAGUUUGGUUUACAUUUGAAGCAAUGCGGAAUAGUUUCGCAACUCACACCACCUGGAACACCACAACGAAAUGGUGUGUCCGAACGUCAUAAUCGUACUUUACUGGAUAUGGUACGAUCUAUGAUGUCUCUUACUGAUUUACCGCUAUCAUUUUGGGGUUAUGCUUUAGAGACGGCCGCAUUCACAUUAAAUAGGACACCAUCAAAAUCCGUUGAGACGACGCCUUAU